AUACGGAGGGUGCGAGCGUUAAUCGGAAUUACUGGGCGUAAAGGGUGCGUAGGCGGCUUGAUAAGUCGGAUGUGAAAGCCCCGGGCUUAACCUGGGAAUUGCAUUCGAUACUGUCAGGCUAGAGUAUGUCAGAGGUUGGCGGAAUUCCUGGUGUAGCGGUGAAAUGCGUAGAUAUCAGGAGGAACACCAGUGGCGAAGGCGGCUAACUGGGGCAAUACUGACGCUGAGGCGCGAAAGCGUGGGGAGCAAACAGGAGUAGAAACCCUUGUAGUCC
rnacentral:rRNA from 1 species